CUCCGGUGUGGCUGGGCCCCCAGCCCUCGCGGUGUCGGGAGCCUGUGUCCCGCGCUGAGCCUCGGUAGCUCAGAGGACUUGAGAACUCGUGUUCUCCACGGCUGAGGAAGACCCAUUUCAGUUCAGACUAGUCCCAUUUCCAGAGCUGGGAAGCAGCCUGUGUGGCUGGAGCAGCGUGAGGAGUGCACAGUGGCGUAAGAUGCAGCGGAAGAGACAGAAAUGAUACCACCCAAAUCACCUUGUAAAAGCCACAUAGAAAAUUGUUUUUUAUGGUCCAGGAUGACUCUGUUGCCAGCAUCUUCUGAUAGAAGGAAUUACUUUUCCAGGCAGUGCAAUAAUGCUAUUUAUCAAAAGAAACACUGGACAGUCAGAAUGGACUUCAGAGCUGUGUCCUGAGCCAUCUGGCCAACUCUCGGCAAGAAACUUCUUUGUUCUUUAGAGACUGAGCUUUAUCCCCAAGCACUAACAGAGUUGAAAUGGAAGAAGUUGGACUUACUUGUCUUUGGUAUGUAAACAAUAACUUACUAUUUACGCAUAUGAAGGGACAUUUUUAAAGGAAGGAAGCAAUUGUAGGGUGUUUUGUCCCUGCCUCACUGACCUCUCCAUUUUAACCUUGCUCUUUUUAUGUGGGGGGUGUGUUU
rnacentral:lncRNA from 1 species